rnacentral:rRNA from 1 species
AUGAACGCUGGCGGCGUGCCUAAUCCAUGCAAGUCGAGCGAACAGACGAGGAGCUUGCUCCUCUGACGUUAGCGGCGGACGGGUGAGUAACACGUGGAUAACCUACCUAUAAGACUGGGAUAACUUCGGGAAACCGGAGCUAAUACCGGAUAAUAUAUUGCACCGCAUGGUUCCAUAGUGAAAGACGGUUUUGCUGUCACUUAUAGAUGGAUCCGCGCCGCAUUAGCUAGUUGGUAAGGUAACGGCUUACCAAGGCAACGAUGCGUAGCCGACCUGAGAGGGUGAUCGGCCACACUGGAACUGAGACACGGUCCAGACUCCUACGGGAGGCAGCAGUAGGGAAUCUUCCGCAAUGGGCGAAAGCCUGACGGAGCAACGCCGCGUGAGUGAUAAAGGUCUUCGGAUCGUAAAACUCUGUUAUUAGGGAAGAACAAAUGUGUAAGUAACUAUGCACGUCUUGACGGUACCUAAUCAGAAAGCCACGGCUAACUACGU